AUGGCAUGUGAGGACUUUGAAACAAUUCAUUGAGCAGAGAAUUUCUCACCCCAAUUUCUGCAGCUGCUGAGCUGCCAGUUCUGUGGAAGACUGCCCCGUAGGAGCCAAGUGACACUCUGAGGACCAGAACCUGGUGGGAAGGUAGGUUUCUAUUCUUCCUUCCAGCUUUGCCCAACUCAGGUGUGUGCUCUGGACCUAAUCAUUUUCCUUCUCUCUUAAAUUUUCUUUUCAGUCAUUCUGGAGAACUAAUAACUGGCCUUUCCCUGGAAAGUAUUUAGCAACCUUUCUCUGGAAGGUGUUGGCUGUCCCGUUGUUAUUAGUACUGGGGUAUCACCGUUACAGGCCAGCCCUGGCUUGCAAAGGAAAAAGCCAGCCGACCUCGCCUGACGUUAUUGUAACCCUACGAGCCGGUCAGCUUGCUUUUAUAUCUGACCCCAGUGGCCUCCUGCUACCCGAUGAAACUCAGUCUUUUGACAGCUGGCCCAGGGUCAUUUGGUUCAGUGCUGAAGUGGGCCCGGCGGACAGAACACUUGGAGGCCUCUGAAUGAUCCAGCUGGGAUCCAUAAUGGAAAGAGGUGGAAAACAUUUGUUUUUAAGUAAAUUGUUCAUUUGCAACAUUGAGUUUGAAGAGGAACAAUUAAAAGUUAUUGAUUUGGAGGCUGGGACUUGUGCUUAUCAAUUAGAAGAAAAAGUCCUCUGCACUCUUCAGCUAUGAAUUAUUGAAAUGAUUGGAGAGGAAUUGAUGCCAGGUUGUUCUUCAGUGUGCUAUCCUUCCUGUCUUCUAAAUCUCAAAUUCAGACUUACAAUAGUUUUACGAGAAAACUUGAAAAGGAACUGUAAGAAGAAAAACGAGAGACCAACAAGAGAUCUUUUGUUUUUGCAGCGAAACUUGUUUGAAAGGAUAAGCCCUAGUAUGCGUGUCAUUGUUGUACACUAUGUGACAUCUUGUGCUAUCAUCAAAGGACUUAACUUUGCACAGAAACAUGAAUGAGUCUUAUUUUUCCAUGUGUACUUACAUAACCAUAUCUUCUGAAUGCAAUUAACAUCAGAAUAUUUUAUUUUUCUAACUUGCUAUUGAAAAUCAAUAUGUACUAUAAAUUAUAUAAUUUCUAGUUUUAGUAAAUGUAUGAGGUAAAUUUUGUUGUUUGAUGAAUUAGGAAUGGAUUGCCUUAUUUUAUUUCCAAUACUAUAAGAGAUAAACAUAAAUACUAUAAAUAUUUAUGAUAAUAUUGCUAAGGGUCUUAUGAAUCUUCCUUCCUCCCUCCCUUUCUUUUUUCCUCCUUUUCUUUUCUUUUCUUCUUUUCUUUUCUUUCUUUCUUUCUUUCUUUCUUUCUUUCUUUCUUUCUUUCUUUC